rnacentral:rRNA from 1 species
GUGGAUUAGAUACCCUGGUAGUCCUAGCCGUAAACGGUGCACGUUUGCUGUAAAAGGAAUCGACCCCUUUUGUGGCGUAGCCAACGCGAUAAACGUGCCGCCUGGGAAGUACGGUCGCAAGAUUAAAACUCAAAGAAAUUGACGGGGGCCUGCACAAGCGGUGGAGUAUGUGGCUUAAUUCGAUGCAACGCGAAGAACCUUACCUGGCCUUGACAUGUAUCUAGUAGAAGGGUGAAAGCCUGACGAGAUAGCAAUAUCAGGAUACACAGGUGCUGCACGGCUGUCGUCAACU